CCGAGUGUGGGUGGCCUCUGGCCCCCAACUCCGACCCUAUGCUAGUAGAAUAGAACUGUUGCUUCCGGGUGGGCUACCUCCGCCUGGACCAAACUCAGUAAUAGACUUUGCUCUGAUCGUAUUGAUAAAUCAAAUGA
rnacentral:misc_RNA from 1 species